GCCGGGUGUGGUGGUGUGCACCUGUAAUCCCAACUACUCGAGAGGCUGAGACAGGAGAAUCGCUUGAACCCAGGAGGCGGAGGUUGCAGUGAGCUGAGAUCGUGCCACUGCAUUCUAGCCUGGGCAACAAAGCAAGAUUCUGUCUCAA
rnacentral:SRP_RNA from 1 species